UACGUAGGGUGCAAGCGUUGUCCGGAAUUAUUGGGCGUAAAGAGCUUGUAGGCGGUCUGUCGCGUCUGCUGUGAAAAUCCGGGGCUCAACCCCGGACUUGCAGUGGGUACGGGCAGACUAGAGUGUGGUAGGGGAGACUGGAAUUCCUGGUGUAGCGGUGAAAUGCGCAGAUAUCAGGAGGAACACCGAUGGCGAAGGCAGGUCUCUGGGCCACUACUGACGCUGAGGAGCGAAAGCCAGGGGAGCAAACGGG
rnacentral:rRNA from 1 species